GAUGAACGCUGGCGGCGUGCCUAAUACAUGCAAGUCGAGCGAACAGACGAGGAGCUUGCUCCUCUUACGUUAGCGGCGGACGGGUGAGUAACACGUGGAUAACCUACCUAUAAGACUGGGAUAACUUCGGGAAACCGGAUCUAAUACCGGAUAAUAUAUUGAACCGCAUGGUUCAAUAGUGAAAGACGGUUUUGCUGUCACUUAUAGAUGGAUCCGCGCCGCAUUAGCUAGUUGGUAAGGUAACGGCUUACCAAGGCGACGAUGCGUAGCCGACCUGAGAGGGUGAUCAGCCACACUGGAACUGAGACACGGUCCAGACUCCUACGGGAGGCAGCAGUAGGGAAUCUUCCGCAAUGGGCGAAAGCCUGACGGAGCCACGCCGCGUGAGUGAUGAAGGUCUUCGGAUCGUAAAACUCUGUUAUUAGGGAAGAACAAAUGUGUAAGUAACUAUGCACGUCUUGACGGUACCUAAUCAGAAAGCCACGGCUAACUACGUG
rnacentral:rRNA from 1 species